GAGGGUAUAGCCCACGCAGGCAAAGCGCAUGCUUAGCAUGCAUGAAGUCCUGGGUUCAAUCCCCACUACCUCCU
rnacentral:tRNA from 1 species